rnacentral:rRNA from 1 species
AACAGGAUUAGAUACCCUGGUAGUCCACGCCGUAAACGAUGUCGACUUGGAGGUUGUGCCCUUGAGGCGUGGCUUCCGGAGCUAACGCGUUAAGUCGACCGCCUGGGGAGUACGGCCGCAAGGUUAAAACUCAAAUGAAUUGACGGGGGCCCGCACAAGCGGUGGAGCAUGUGGUUUAAUUCGAUGCAACGCGAAGAACCUUACCUGGUCUUGACAUCCACGGAAGUUUUCAGAGAUGAGAAUGUGCCUUCGGGAACCGUGAGACAGGUGCUGCAUGGCUGUCGUCAGCUCGUGUUGUGAAAUGUUGGGUUAAGUCCCGCAACGAGCGCAACCCUUAUCCUUUGUUGCCAGCGGUCCGGCCGGGAACUCAAAGGAGACUGCCAGUGAUAAACUGGAGGAAGGUGGGGAUGACGUCAAGUCAUCAUGGCCCUUACGACCAGGGCUACACACGUGCUACAAUGGCGCAUACAAAGAGAAGCGACCUCGCGAGAGCAAGCGGACCUCAUAAAGUGCGUCGUAGUCCGGAUUGGAGUCUGCAACUCGACUCCGUGAAGUCGGAAUCGCUAGUAAUCGUGGAUCAGAAUGCCACGGUGAAUACGUUCCCGGGCCUUGUACACACCGCCCGUCACACCAUGGGAGUGGGCUGCAAAAGAAGUAGGUAGCUUAACCUUCGGGAGGGCGCUUACCACUUUGUGAUUCAUGACUGGGGUGAAGUCGUAACAAGGUAACC